rnacentral:rRNA from 1 species
GGAUGCACGCAGCCUGAUCAGCCAUGCCGCGUGUGUGAAGAAGGCCUUCGGGUUGUAAAGCACUUUUGUCCGGGAAGAAGCUGCUUUUAUUAAUACUCUGGGAUAAUGAACGUUCCGCACAAAUAAGGCCCGGCUAACUUCUGGCCCACCGCCCCGGUAAUACCUAAGGGCCAAACGUUAAUCCGAAUUACUGGGCGUAAAGCGGGGGCAAGCGGGUGUUUAAAAUCGAUGUGAAAUCCCCGGACUUAACCUGGGAAUUGCAUUGGUGACUGGGGGGCUUGAGUGUGGCAGAGGGGGGUAGAAUUCCAUGUGUAACAGUGAAAUGCGUAAAGAUGGGAAGGAAUACCGAUGGCGAAGGCGCCCCCCUGGAAUAACACUGACACUCAUGCGCAAAAGCGUGGGAGAAAACAGGAUAAUAUACCCUGGUAGUCCACGCCCUAAACAAUGUCUCCUAUUUGUUGGGGAUUCUUUUCCUUUUUAACGUAGCUAAUGCCUGAAUUUGACCACCUGGGGAGUAGAACCGCCAGAUUACAACUCCUCGAAUUUUUUCGGGGG